AACGUAGGUGGCAAGCGUUAUCCGGAAUUACUGGGCGUAAAGGGUGUGCAGGCGGGGUUGCAAGUGGGGUAUGAAAUAUCCCAGCUUAACUGGGAGGGGUUAUGCCAGACUGCAACUCUAGAGGACGAGAGAGGGGGGUGGAAUUCCGGGUGUAGUGGUGAAAUGCGUAGAGAUCCGGAGGAACACCGACGGCGUAGGCAGCGCCCUAGACGAGACCUGACGCUCAGGCACGAAAGCGCGGGGAGCGAACAGG
rnacentral:rRNA from 1 species